UAAUACGUAGGGUGCAAGCGUUAAUCGGAAUUACUGGGCGUAAAGCGUGCGCAGGCGGUGAUGUAAGACAGAUGUGAAAUCCCCGGGCUCAACCUGGGAACUGCAUUAGUGACUGCAUCGCUGGAGUGCGGCAGAGGGGGAUGGAAUUCCGCGUGUAGCAGUGAAAUGCGUAGAUAUGCGGAGGAACACCGAUGGCGAAGGCAAUCCCCUGGGCCUGCACUGACGCUCAUGCACGAAAGCGUGGGAGCAAACAGGAUUAGAUACCCUGGUAGUCCACGCCCUAAACUAUGUCAACUGGUUGUUGGGAAUUCACUUUCUCAGUAACGAAGCUAACGCGUGAAGUUGACCGCCUGGGGAGUACGGCCGCAAGGUUAAAACUCAAAGGAAUUGACGGGACCCGCACGAGCGGUGGAUGAUGUGGUUUAAUUCGAUGCAACGCGAAAACCUUACCCACCUUUGACAUGUACGGAAGAUCGCAGAGACGCGAUUGUGCUC
rnacentral:rRNA from 1 species